rnacentral:rRNA from 1 species
UACGUAGGGUGCGAGCGUUAAUCGGAAUUACUGGGCGUAAAGCGUGCGCAGGCGGUUCGGAAAGAAAGAUGUGAAAUCCCAGAGCUUAACUUUGGAACUGCAUUUUUAACUGCCGGGCUAGAGUAUGUCAGAGGGGGGUAGAAUUCCACGUGUAGCAGUGAAAUGCGUAGAGAUGUGGAGGAAUACCGAUGGCGAAGGCAGCCCCCUGGGAUAAUACUGACGCUCAUGCACGAAAGCGUGGGGAGCAAACAGG